AUUGAACGCUGGCGGCAGGCCUAACACAUGCAAGUCGAGCGGAGCGGCGGACGGGUGAGUAAUGCCUAGGAAUCUGCCUGGUAGUGGGGGAUAACGUCCGGAAACGGGCGCUAAUACCGCAUACUAUCAGAUGAGCCUAGGUCGGAUUAGCUAGGUGGUGGGGUAAAGGCCUACCAAGGCGACGCUCCGUAACUGGUCUGAGAGGAUGAUCAGUCACACUGGAAAUUGGACACGGUCCAGCCUCAUACUGGAGUCAGCAGGUGGGGAUAUUUGGAAAUGGGAGAAAGCCUGAUCCAGCCAUGCCGCGUGUGGGAAGAAGGUCGUCGGAUUUUAAAGCACUUUAAGUUGGGAGGCGUUACCAACAGAGUAAGCACCGGCUAACUUCGUGCCAGCAGCCGCGGUAAUAC
rnacentral:rRNA from 1 species